AGUUAAUUAGCUUAACCCCCCAAAGCAUAUGUCUUGAAAACAUAAACUAGAAGUUUAAUCUUCUAUUAACUU
rnacentral:tRNA from 1 species